CGAGGUGAGGCAGGAGGGAAAGGAGUUGCCUGAGAUCUGCUGUCUCCAGCAACAUUCCCAUCCUUUAGGAACUGGAUCCUUACCAGGAGACUGUCAGGCAGGGUUUAUUGGGAUUAUUUUUAUUUCUACAAGAGACUGAAGGUAGGACAAGCAGUUCUUGGUCUCUCCCAAUAAACCGGGCACCAGCGGCUGAAGCCCACGUGCUCGGCGCGACCCCAGGAAGCUGAACCUGACUGCAUGGCGUCACUCAGCCCUCAGAGCAUCCUCCGGGACAGACGAGAGACAGCGGCCACAAGCAGCUGCCAUCCCAGCUCACACCCUCCUCCCUUUCCAGCUGUCGGGAGGCUCAGAAAGAUGAUGACCCCGCUACCUGUGUCCCAAAUGUCUUGGCAUCACGGCCACCGACCCUGGAUGGAGAGGCGCUGCUUCCCCGAGCAAGCACGGAGCGGGCCCCUGGGCAGACAUGGAGUCUGGUGAUGUCACCCUCAUCUCCUCAUGCAGCUGAUCAUUAGGACACAAGAUGACUCUCCUGGGACGAGUGACAAGUGCGACCUGUUUCCUCCUGGUCUCAGCAUCCUGCGUGUAGGUGCUGUGGCCAGGUCAAAGGCGGACAGGAAGCCAAGAGGGGCAUCGGGGGCUGGCUGGCUGGCAGAGGGGCACUCAGGGCCUGGGAGGGGUUGGAGGACAGGCCAGAGUCGGGCUGCAGGAGCAGGGGCUGAGCUCAGUCACAAAGGGAAAGUCUCAGAGGAGGCGGCCAGCCAGGUGGCGAUCAGGAGAGGGAAAGUAAAUAGGUGACUCCGUGCUAGGCCCACCACCCCAGGAACGUGCCAACCCUAAGACAGUCCCCUUUUAGUGCGUGAAGAUGGGCACAGCCCUCACCUCCUCAGGGUGGGGCACAGAGCCAGCAGCUUGACCCCCGGUCCCCUCAGUAAGAGGAGCCAGUAAAGAGGACAUGAAUGAGGGCAAGUGGGAAUAUGGGACAGGCAGGAGGCCUUCCUGGGAGUUAGGAACCGGAGGCUGAGCUUCAGCUGCCUGAGUCUUUCUCUGUCCCUUCUUAUCCCCUCCUGAAAUGACUGAGUGACAGCUGCUGCACUGACAUUUGUACUUUGACCCCAUGACACAGCCAGGUUUUACAGAGGUGAAGUUUCCAGUAUGACUGGAAUUCAAGGCCAGGUCACAGCUCAAUGCAUAAGCAUCCAGCAGGACGGUGGGUCUCACAGUUCUGUCACUGGGACGACAGUUUGUGUAGGUGGGGAGGGCGUGACCCUGAGCGCCACCCACCCAGGCAGAGGGCCUGAGGAAGGUGCCCUGUGGUUGGUCCUGUGGCCCCUGCUACCCCAUGUCAGGGGUAAAACCAUCC